rnacentral:rRNA from 1 species
AGUGAACGCUGGCGGUAGGCCUAACACAUGCAAGUCGAACGGCAGCACAGUAAGAGCUUGCUCUUACGGGUGGCGAGUGGCGGACGGGUGAGGAAUACAUCGGAAUCUACUUUUUCGUGGGGGAUAACGUAGGGAAACUUACGCUAAUACCGCAUACGACCUACGGGUGAAAGCAGGGGAUCUUCGGACCUUGCGCGAUUGAAUGAGCCGAUGUCGGAUUAGCUAGUUGGCGGGGUAAAGGCCCACCAAGGCGACGAUCCGUAGCUGGUCUGAGAGGAUGGUCAGCCACACUGGAACUGAGACACGGUCCAGACUCCUACGGGAGGCAGCAGUGGGGAAUAUUAGACAAUGGGCGCAAGCCUGAUCCAGCCAUACCGCGUGGGUGAAGAAGGCCUUCUGGUUGUAAAGCCCUUUUGUUGGGAAAGAAAAGCAGCAGGUUAAUACCCCGCUGUUCUGACGGUACCCAAAGAAUAAGCACCGGCUAACUUCGUG